GAUGAACGCUGGCGGCGUGCCUAAUACAUGCAAGUCGAGCGAACAGACGAGGAGCUUGCUCCUCUGACGUUAGCGGCGGACGGGUGAGUAACACGUGGAUAACCUACCUAUAAGACUGGGAUAACUUCGGGAAACCGGAGCUAAUACCGGAUAAUAUAUUGAACCGCAUGGUUCAAUAGUGAAAGACGGUUUUGCUGUCACUUAUAGAUGGAUCCGCGCCGCAUUAGCUAGUUGGUAAGGUAACGGCUUACCAAGGCGACGAUGCGUAGCCGACCUGAGAGGGUGAUCAGCCACACUGGAACUGAGACACGGUCCAGACUCCUACGGGAGGCAGCAGUAGGGAAUCUUCCGCAAUGGGCGAAAGCCUGACGGAGCAACGCCGCGUGAGUGAUGAAGGUCUUCGGAUCGUAAAGCUCUGUUAUUAGGGAAGAACAAAUGUGUAAGUAACUAUGCACGUCUUGACGGUACCUAAUCAGAAAGCCACGGCUAACUACGUG
rnacentral:rRNA from 1 species